rnacentral:tRNA from 1 species
GCGGAGUUGGCAGAGCGGUCAAAUGCACUGGUCUCGAAAACCAGGGCCUCACGGCUACGAGAGUUCGAAUCCCUCACUCCGCG